CCUACGGGGCGCUGCAGUGGGGAAUAUUGCACAAUGGGGGAAACCCUGAUGCAGCGACGCCGCGUGAGUGAAGAAGUAUCUCGGUAUGUAAAGCUCUAUCAGCAGGGAAGAAAAUGACGGUACCUGAUUAAGAAGCCCCGGCUAACUACGUUCCAGCAGCCGCGGUAAUACGUAGGGGGCAAGCGUAAUCCGGAUUUACUGGGUGUAAAGGGGGCGUAGACGGCAGCACAAGUCUGGAGUGAAAUGCCGGGGCUUAACCCCGGAACUGCUUUGGAAACUGUGCAGCUAGAGUGCAGGAGAGGUAAGUGGAAUUCCUAGUGUAGCGGUGAAAUGCGUAGAUAUUAGGAGGAACACCAGUGGCGAAGGCGGCUUACUGGACUGUAACUGACGUUGAGGCUCGAAAGCGUGGGGAGCAAACAGGAUUAGAUACCCGGGUAGUC
rnacentral:rRNA from 1 species